GGUCAGACAUUAACAUGCAUUGCACUAUAUACCACUUUAUACACAAUAAAGUGCCUAUAGAACCACUGUGUGUUAAUGUUCAAAUUUAAAGUCGAAUAACUGUUCACUUGUUUGUGUGGGAAAUCAGGUUUAUCUAUUUGGCAAAGCAUUCAAUCCAUAAGUCCAGCUUUUCUUUUCUACUCAUAGUUUAAUAAUACAUAUUCAGAUGAUACUGUUAUGAAAAGCAACUGUGCAUUUGUUAAAACAAGAAUUUAUACUUUCAAACAAGACAUUUUAGACUCUUAAAAAUAUUGAAGAGUUUGCAGUUAUUCAGCUAUAGUUUAUGUAUAUUACAGAUUUUUGUUCUGUACAAUUUACACAUAGAAUGUCAUUAGUAAUAAAACGUUAGUUCUUUUUUCUGGAAGUCGUGUGGCCACAGGAGCUGUUGGUGGAUUCAUCUUUGGCAGUUGUGUUUUUUUGUGUAUUGCAUGCGGGGGCCCCUUGCCCUUAAGUUAGGUUCACAUGUGCAUCUUUCCUCUAGGCGUACACUCCUGUGGCCUGAAGACGUCGUGCUGUGAAGGUGUGUUUAUUCUUACUAUGGUUUUUCUUUAUUCUUAUAUAGUCUACUAUAGCCAUAAAUAUAGUGAACCUGUUUUUGACCACCAGAAUUAUUGACAAAGUUGAAAGAAAUGCAAAAUUUAAAAUAAUUGUUGCAUUCCUUUGUGCUUCGUCUCAGUUUGUAUCUGCAAUGGUUAUUAAUACCAAUGCAGGUGCAAUUAUACUUAGAAGGUGUAAAUAUCAUGGUUACAUUUAGAAGGUGAAUACCAUGAUUUCCAAAAGUAAGACAUUCAUUCGAAAAAAUGUUCAAGAGAGAAGGUUUAAUUACAUUAAUGUUUGUUUUCUUAAUUACUUUUGGAAAUUCAUGGCAAUGUAAUACCCUAAAUCCUCUAUUUAGCCCCAUCCCUCUAAGAUAAGUCCCUUCUUUGUUAAAAUUUCUUAGCCCCCCCCCCCCUCCAAAUUAAGACUCCACAACUUCAGAAAGGAUAUAUCUGAAAAUAAAUUAGACUUUCUAUAAUAGAGGAUUUAUGGUAGUACCUGCUCUCCCCGUGAAGCUAGCCAUAG